rnacentral:rRNA from 1 species
UACGUAGGUGGCAAGCGUUGUCCGGAUUUACUGGGCGUAAAGAGCGCGCAGGCGGUCGUUCAAGUCGCGUGUGAAAGCCCCCCGGCUCAACUGGGGGAGGGUCACGCGAUACUGAUCGACUCGAAGGCAGGAGAGGGUAGUGGAAUUCCCGGUGUAGUGGUGAAAUGCGUAGAUAUCGGGAGGAACACCAGUGGCGAAGGCGACUACCUGGCCUGUUUCUUGACGCUGAGGCGCGAAAGCUAGGGGAGCAAACGGG